rnacentral:rRNA from 1 species
AUAAGCGCUGGCGGCGUGCCUAACACAUGCAAGUCGAGCGAGAAAGGUCUUCGGACUGAGUAAAGCGGCGAACGGGUGAGUAACGCGUGAGAAUCUGUCCUUCAGUGGAGAAUACCCAAGAGAAAUCUUGGUUAAUUCUGCAUACGUCCCUAACGGGAGAAAGGUGGCCUCUUUGCUGCCGCUGAUGGAGGAGCUUGCGUCCUAUUAGCUAGUUGGUAGGGUAAUGGCCUACCAAGGCGAUGAUGGGUAACCGGCCUGAGAGGGCGUUCGGUCACACUGGAACUUAGACACGGUCCAGACUCCUACGGGAGGCAGCAGUGAGGAAUCUUGCGCAAUGGGCGAAAGCCUGACGCAGCGACGCCGCGUGGAGGAUGAAGGUCUUCGGAUUGUAAACUUCUGUUAAGUGGGAAGAAAGACACAGAUUUAAUAAAUCUGUGGGAUGACGGUACCAUUAAAGAAAGCACCGGCUAAACUCGU